CAAACGUUCAAAAUCAGCAGGGCAUCAAAUACUUUUCCCCCUCACUGUAUGCAAAUGCAGGAGCCUAUGUGGGCAUGGCCAAUGUGUGUGAAUGCAGGGGCCUCUGUGUUCAGAGUAUCAUUCCAUAUGAAUAAAAAAGCAAGAGUGCAGAUUGUGUUGUGUGAAUGCAGGGACAUAUGUAUAAAGUGUAAAGAGAGAAGAGACAGAAUAAAGAAGAGAGAAGGGACAGAAUAAAGAGAUAAGAGACAAAAUAAAGAGAGAAGGGACAGAAUAAAGAGAGAAUGGACAUAAGUAAGAGAUCUGAGGCAGAAAGAGAGAAUGGACAGAAUAAAGAGAGAAGAGACCGAAUAAAGAGAGAAGGGACAGAAUAAAGACUGAAGGGACAGAGUAAACAGAGAAGGGGCAGAAUAAAGAAGAGAGAAGGGACAGAAUAAAGAGAGAAGGGACAGAGUAAAGAGAGAAGGGACAGAAUAAAGAGAGAAGGGACAGAAUAAAGAGAGAAGGGACAGAAUAAAGAGAGAAGGGACAGAGUGAAGAAGAGAGAGAAUAAAGAGUGAAGGGACAGAAUAAAGAAGAGAGAAGGGACAGAAUAAAGAGAGGAGACACAAAAUAAAGAGUGAAGAGACAAAAUAAAGAGAGACGGGACAGAAUAAAGAGAGAAGGGACAGAAGUAAGAGAUCUGAGGCAGAAAGAGAGAAGGGACCGAAUAAAGAGAGGAGACCGAAUAAAGAGAGAAGGGACAGAAUAAAGACUGAAGGGACAGAGUAAACAGAGAAGGGGCAGAAUAAAGAAGAGAGAAGGGACAGAGUAAAGAGAGAAGGGACAGAAUAAAGAGAGAAGGGACAGAGUGAAGAAGAGACAGAAUAAAGAGUGAAGGGACAGAAUAAAGAAGAGAGAAGGGACAGAAUAAAGAGAGGAGACACAAAAAGAGUGAAGAGACAAAAUAAAGAGAGAAGGGACAGAAUAAAGAGAGAAGAGACAGAAUAAAGAGUGAAGGGACAGAAUAAAGAGAGAAGGGACAGAAUAAAGAGAGAAGGGACAGAAUAAAGAAGAGACAGAAUAAAGAGAAAAGAGACAAAAUAAACAGUGAAGGGACAGAAUAAAGAGUGAAGGGACAGAAGUAAUUGAUCUGAGACAGAAAGAGAGAAGGGACAGAAUAAAGAAGAGAUAGAAUAAAGAGAGAAGGGACAGAGUAAAGAGUGAAGGGACAGAAUAAAGAGUGAAGGAACAGAAUAAAGAGGGAAGAGACAAAAUAAAGAGAGACGGGACAGAAUAAAGAGAGAAGGGACAGAAGUAAGAGAUCUGAGGCAGAAAGAGAGAAGGGACCGAAUAAAGAGAGAAGGGACCAAAUAAAGAGAGAAGGGACAGAGUGAAGAAGAGACAGAAUAAAGAGUGAAGGGACAGAAUAAAGAAGAGAGAAGGGACAGAAUAAAGACUGAAGGGACAGAGUAAACAGAGAAGGGGCAGAAUAAAGAAGAGAGAAGGGACAGAGUAAAGAGAGAAGGGACAGAAUAAAGAGAGAAGGGACAGAAUAAAGAGAGAAGGGACAGAGUGAAGAAGAGACAGAAUAAAGAGUGAAGGGACAGAAUAAAGAAGAGAGAAGGGACAGAAUAAAGAGAGGAGACACAAAAUAAAGAGUGAAGAGACAAAAUAAAGAGAGAAGGGACAGAAUAAAGAGAGAAGAGACAGAAUAAAGAGUGAAGGGACAGAGUAAAGAGAGAUGGGACUGAAUAAAGAAGUGAGAAGGGACAGAGUAAAGAGAGAAGGGACAGAAUAAAGAGAGAAGGGACAGAAUAAAGAGAGAAGGGACAGAAUAAAGAAGAGACAGAAUAAAGAGAGAAGAGACA